rnacentral:rRNA from 1 species
CCUACGGGGGGCUGCAGUAGGGAAUAUUGGACAAUGGGCGAAAGCCUGAUCCAGCCAUGCCGCGUGGUAGAUGAAGGCCCUCUGGGUUGUAAAUACCUUUUAUCUGGGAAGAAAUAUCUCGUUCUCGAGAAACUGACGGUACCAGAUGAAUAAGCACCGGCUAACUCCGUGCCAGCAGCCGCGGUAAUACGGAGGGUGCACGCAUUUACCGGAUUUAAAGGGUGUGAAGGGUGCGUUGGAAGUCAGUGGUGAAAGCCCCGAGCUUAACUUGGGAAUUGCCAUUGAUACUGUUUUUCUUGAAUACGAUUGAGGUAAGCGGAAUGUUGCAUGUAGCGGUGAAAUGCUUAGAUAUGUUACAGAACACCAAUUGCGAAGGCAGCUUACUAAGUCGUCAUUGACGCUGAGGCACGAAAGCGUGGGGAGCAAACAGGAUUAGAUACCCGGGUAGUC